CCUACGGGUGGCUGCAGUGGGGAAUAUUGCACAAUGGGCGCAAGCCUGAUGCAGCCAUGCCGCGUGUGUGAAGAAGGCCUUCGGGUUGUAAAGCACUUUCAGCGGGGAGGAAGGCGUUAAGGUUAAUAACCUUGGCGAUUGACGUUACCCGCAGAAGAAGCACCGGCUAACUCCGUGCCAGCAGCCGCGGUAAUACGGAGGGUGCAAGCGUUAAUCGGAAUUACUGGGCGUAAAGCGCACGCAGGCGGUCUGUCAAGUCGGAUGUGAAAUCCCCGGGCUCAACCUGGGAACUGCAUUCGAAACUGGCAGGCUAGAGUCUUGUAGAGGGGGUAGAAUUCCAGGUGUAGCGGUGAAAUGCGUAGAGAUCUGGAGGAAUACCGGUGGCGAAGGCGGCCCCCUGGACAAAGACUGACGCUCAGGUGCGAAAGCGUGGGGAGCAAACAGGAUUAGAUACCCCAGUAGUC
rnacentral:rRNA from 1 species